rnacentral:rRNA from 1 species
GUGUCAGCCGCCGCGGUAAAACGUAGGUGGCAAGCGUUAUCCGGAUUUACUGGGCGUAAAGCGUGUGCAGGCGGGUUGUCAAGUGGUGUAUGAAAUCGCCCGGCUUAACCGGGCGGGGUUAGGCCAGACUGACAGCCUGGAGUGCGAGAGAGGGGCGUGGAAUUCCGGGUGUAGUGGUGAAAUGCGUAGAGAUCCGGAGGAACCCCAGCGGCGAAGGCGGCGCCCUGGCUCGCAACUGACGCUCAGACACGACAGCAUGGGGAGCGAACGGGAUUAGAUACCCCCGUAGUCC